rnacentral:rRNA from 1 species
AUUGAACGCUGGCGGCAGGCCUAACACAUGCAAGUCGAACGAGUGGCGGACGGGUGAGUAAUGUCUGGGAAACUGCCUGAUGGAGGGGGAUAACUACUGGAAACGGUAGCUAAUACCGCAUACCAUCGGAUGUACCCAGAUGGGAUUAGCUAGUAGGUGGGGUAAAGGCUCACCUAGGCGACGAUCCCUAGCUGGUCUGAGAGGAUGACCAGCCACACGGGAACUGAGACACGGCCCAGACUCCUACGGGAGGCAGCAGUGGGGAAGAUUGCACAAUGGGCGCAAGCCUGAUGCAGCCAUGCAGCGUGUAUGAAGAAGGCCUUAGGGUUGUAAAGUACUUUCAGCGGGGAGGCGUUACCCGCAGAAGAAGCACCGGCUAACUCCGUGCCAGCAGCCGCGGUAAUUC